rnacentral:guide_RNA from 1 species
AAAUACAAAACUAAACGAGUGACAGAGAUGAUGAGAGAUUUAUAGUUAU